rnacentral:rRNA from 1 species
CGAGACCUUAACCUGCUAAAUAGUCAGGCCGGCUUUUGCUGGUCGCAGACUUCUUAGAGGGACUGUCAGCGUCUAGCUGACGGAAGUUUGAGGCAAUAACAGGUCUGUGAUGGCCUUAGAUGUUCUGGGCCGCACGCGCGCUACACUGGCAGAGCCAACGAGUUCUCACCUUGGCCGGAAGGUCUGGGUAAUCUUGUGAAACUCU